CCCUAUGGGGUGCAGCAGGCUGUUUGACAAGUCAGCUGUUAAAUAUGGGGGCUUAACCCUUAUAUGCGGUUGAAACUAUCAGACUGGAGUGCUGUAGAGGCAAGUGGAAUUCCCAGUGUAGCGGUGAAAUGCGUAGAUAUUGGGAAGAACACCGGUGGCGAAGGCGACUUGCUGGGCAGCAACUGACGCUGAGGCGCGAAAGCCAGGGGAGCAAACG
rnacentral:rRNA from 1 species